ensembl:lncRNA
UGCCUGUUCAGGGGGCAGAACGACAGAUUUGUACCUUGUCAGCUCGGGGGUUUGAACUUGCAACCUUCCGGUUACUAGUCCAACAUUCUAACCACUAGGCUACCCUGUCUCUUACCCUUUUCAGAUGUGGCUCUGAAGAGAUUACGUGAUGGCUCAUAUCGCUGGUGAACUGACCACUGAAUUGGGUAGAACACUUCAACAUGUGACCCUGCAGAAGGAGGGUAAAACACAUGUGGUUAGCUAUGUUGGUGAGACAAAGAGAAUAUGUGGUUUCAACAGCAGAACAUAUCGAGACGAAAGUUUGGAGAUAUAGGUAUGUAGCUUUUUUAUUACAGUUUUUCUCAAAUGCUAAAACACAAUUUCUGAAACGUUGCUCCAUUUCCUGAAAACAUUAAACACAAAACCUCAUCUUCAAGUAUUAUUUACAUAACCACUGACUCCUCUUGUAAAAUGAAACAUUCGUACCCUGCAUCUCACAAACUUGUCCUUUGUCUCUGUGAUACUGUAAUUCUUGUUCUUUGUUGAUAUGAACCUGCAACCAGUCAAAAUCUAUUGAGCAGUCGGUACUGUUAUUAAAUGGAAAGCACAAUGUUCAGGGCCAUACAAUUCAUCCAUUGUACAUAUACAGUCUACAAUGCACUGUACUACAGUAUCCAUUCUCAGACGUUCUCCUUCCCACCUUCAACAACCUGUUUGCUCUCUGAACUGGCUUAUAUUGGUUGUGUCACAUCAUUUGAAACAGGUGAAAUCAAUGUUGAGUGGUUGUGUUCAAUCAAUGACAUGUGUUCUCUAUUUGUAUUUGAUUGUUGCCACUUGUGUUUACCAGUAUGGAUGACAUGUGCAUUAGAGUGCAGAAUGUGUUUAGAGUUUUGCUGAAAAGUCAAAGUGAGAUCUGCAAAUGGUGUUUUAUCAUGUGAAAUGGUUGAAGGUAUUAACAGACUGCAUAAUUAGCUAAAUGAGUCCAGGCAACUGAGAACUUUGUUCAGCCAAAUGGGUUUUUAGUGUUUUAGCAAUUGAGAAAAACUGUAAGUUCGUUAAACAUAGAUUUUCAAACGUUAUUUAUUUCGUUUUUAUGUUUAGAUCUGGGUCUGAAACCUUGUAACCUUGCAUUCAGCUACUUUAUUACUUGAAAAUCAUUUUUUAGGAGUCCUUUCCAACAAAGACAGAUACCUCAUUAAUCUUUACCUCUCUCUCUCUCUC